UACGUAGGGUGCAAGCGUUGUCCGGAAUUAUUGGGCGUAAAGAGCUCGUAGGCGGUCUGUCGCGUCGGCUGUGAAAUCCCGAGGCUCAACCUCGGGUCUGCAGUCGAUACGGGCAAACUGGAGUGUUGCAGGGGAGACUGGAAUUCCUGGUGUAGCGGUGAAAUGCGCAGAUAUCAGGAGGAACACCGGUGGCGAAGGCGGGUCUCUGGGCCGUAACUGACGCUGAGGAGCGAAAGCAUGGGGAGCGAACAGG
rnacentral:rRNA from 1 species